GUGGGGAAUUUUGGACAAUGGGCGAAAGCCUGAUCCAGCAAUGCCGCGUGCAGGAUGAAGGCCCUCGGGUUGUAAACUGCUUUUGUACGAAACGAAAAGCCUGGGGCUAAUAUCCCCGGGUCAUGACGGUACCGUAAGAAUAAGCACCGGCUAACUACGUGCCAGCAGCCGCGGUAAUACGUAGGGUGCAAGCGUUAAUCGGAAUUACUGGGCGUAAAGCGUGCGCAGGCGGUUUUGUAAGACAGUGGUGAAAUCCCCGGGCUCAACCUGGGAACUGCCAUUGUGACUGCAAGGCUAGAGUGCGGCAGAGGGGGAUGGAAUUCCGCGUGUAGCAGUGAAAUGCGUAGAUAUGCGGAGGAACACCGAUGGCGAAGGCAAUCCCCUGGGCCUGCACUGACGCUCAUGCACGAAAGCGUGGGGAGCAAACAGGAUUAGAAACCCUGGUAGUCC
rnacentral:rRNA from 1 species